rnacentral:rRNA from 1 species
CCUANGGGGGGCAGCAGUCGGGAAUUUUGCGCAAUGGACGAAAGUCUGACGCAGCAACACCGCGUGAGGGAUGAAGGCCUUCGGGUUGUAAACCUCUUUUCUCAGGGAAGAUAAUGACGGUACCUGAGGAAUAAGCCACGGCUAACUACGUGCCAGCAGCCGCGGUAAUACGUAGGUGGCAAGCGUUGUCCGGAUUUACUGGGCGUAAAGAGCGCGCAGGCGGUCGUGCAAGUCGCGUGUGAAAGCCCCCGGCUCAACUGGGGAGGGUCACGCGAUACUGCUCGACUCGAAGGCAGGAGAGGGAAGUGGAAUUCCCGGUGUAGUGGUGAAAUGCGUAGAUAUCGGGAGGAACACCAGUGGCGAAGGCGACUUCCUGGCCUGUUCUUGACGCUGAGGCGCGAAAGCUAGGGGAGCAAACGGGAUUAGAUACCCUANUANUC